rnacentral:rRNA from 1 species
GACGAACGCUGGCGGCGUGCUUAACACAUGCAAGUCGAACGAGAAUCUGUGGAAAGAGGAUUCGUCCAAUUGAAACAGAGGACAGUGGCGGACGGGUGAGUAACGCGUGAGGAACCUGCCUUUCAGAGGGGGACAACAGUUGGAAACGACUGCUAAUACCGCAUAACGCAUAGAGAUCGCAUGGUCUUUAUGCCAAAGAUUUAUCGCUGAAAGAUGGCCUCGCGUCUGAUUAGCUAGUUGGCGGGGUAACGGCCCACCAAGGCGACGAUCAGUAGCCGGACUGAGAGGUUGAACGGCCACAUUGGGACUGAGAUACGGCCCAGACUCCUACGGGAGGCAGCAGUGGGGAAUAUUGGGCAAUGGGCGCAAGCCUGACCCAGCAACGCCGCGUGAAGGAAGAAGGCUUUCGGGUUGUAAACUUCUUUUGUCAGGGACGAGAAGAAGACGGUACCUGACGAAUAAGCCACGGCUAACUACGUG